rnacentral:lncRNA from 11 species
GAAAAACACUCCGUGAUCAGAGGGCUUCUUAAUGCCUCUCAUCUGCAACCUGGCCUGCUGUUUCGUGAGGCUCUGAAUGUCAAGUCUCAUUUUUUACAGGUGUUCCAAAAUCUGAAAUUCCAAUGCAUCUGGUCCCAAAUGUUGUCUGAAACAGGAACUCCAAAUGAGAUGAGGUCCAAGCAUGAUCACAAGUUACCCUGCUCAACUGAAAAGUCCAAGGAAAAUGACCCACUCCCAUCUCUCCCAAAGUAGACUUCUUCCUUGAAACCUUAAGCCAAUCAAGUUGGAAAUGUCACGUAUUGUUCUAUAUUUCCCUUUGCCAGCAAUGCCAACAAGCAUCGUUUACCAAAUUAAUUUCAUCCUGUAACUGAUGUGCUCCCUGGGGGCAGAAAGGGACAGCACAGAUACAGGAGAUGGACUCCAGAAUAUUUCCAAAAAGAACUGUAUUAAGUUUCCUGCCAUACCAUGCACCAAUCACAAACUGUAAAUGAAUGCACUUUUAAAAAAAUCUACAUAUUAAUUAAAUGAAUGCACCUUUGAACCAAUAAGAUUGUGGAUUGUUAUUUACACCAAUCACAGCAAAUGUCAAUUCUUUCAAAUGACUGUAAAAUGUCUAUAGAAUGUCCAUGCUUGCAAGUGUGAUUUAUGUCAGAUUUUGAAGAAUUCUCCUGAUAUCUUGCCUUGGACAACAACUCAAUAAAACGGCUUCUGAUCCUGCC